rnacentral:rRNA from 1 species
ACCUCUAGCAUUACCAGUAUUAGAGGCACUGCCUGCCCGGUGACACACGUUUAACGGCCGCGGUACUCUGACCGUGCAAAGGUAGCAUAAUCACUUGUUCUUUAAAUAGGGACUUGCAUGAAUGGCAUCACGAGGGUUUAACUGUCUCUUACUUUUAACCAGUGAAAUUGACCUAUCCGUGAAGAGACGGAUAUAAUACAAUAAGACGAGAAGACCCUAUGGAGCUUUAAUUUAUUAAUGCAACUAAAAACUACACAAACCUACAGGCCCCUAAAUUACUAUACCUGCAUUAAAAAUUUUGGUUGGGGUGACCUCGGAGCACAGCCAAACCUCCGAAUAGUUCAUGCUAAGACUACACAAGUCAAAGCGAACUAAUAUUUCAACUGAUCCAAUAACUUGAUCAACGGAACAAGUUACCCUAGGGAUAACAGCGCAAUUCUAUUCUAGAGUCCAUAUCGACAAUAGAGUUUACGACCUCGAUGUUGGAUCAGGACAUCCUAAUGGUGCAGCAGCUAUCAAG